UCUCUUUAAAACACCCCGCAGCUGUCCCUUGGUUUGUUUGUGUUGCUCUGGGGAAUGUUUGCCUGUGGCCUUGUUGCAACGGGUGGGCAGCGUUAUCCCCAAGAUACAGUGGCUGUCAGCUCACCAUUCUUUUCCUCUCCAAGGCAUGUGCCCUGCUAGGAGAGUGAGUGCCCCUAGCAGUGGGUCUAUUAAAUGCCCCCUCCUGCCCCAUUUAUGUAGAGAGAACAACUAAAGAUAGUCCUGUGGAGAGCCUGCCCACACAGUUUUCAGGGCUGUUCUAUUGCUCUGCCUCUGCUCCAGUUUCUAUAGAUAGAAGGUUGGGUUUGACAAACAUCCUCAAAUGACCGUCCCUAGUAUGGACGUUAAACAAGGCCUCAGACUUUGCCCCUCUCCUUAUGGCAGUGUGCCGAUUAGAGCAUAGUAAAUACGGUCUGACUGCCUGCUUGUUGCAUGGUCAUGAAAGAGGUUUUGUUUUGUUUCGUUUCGUUUUGCCGGAUAUUGGGGGACAUCGCAUAAGACUGCUGACACGUAUGUGGUAGUGGAGAUUAAAACUCAACACCAAAACCGCUGCGCCCCUCACUGUUGCUGUUUAAACGCAGGUUUGCUAGGAUCUAGGUGUGUAUGGAUUUUUGUGGGUCACUCUUUUGUGAUUGUGCUUUUGAACAAGUGAAGGAGAAGAGGAACGUGGCAGCUCGCAUGCCCGAGUUAAAUCCUGAAGUCAAAGGCCGUGUAGGCAUGUAGAUAUUAAUCGAACAGUGAUUUAAUGAGGGCCUAAAAUCUGCCAGGCGCCGCUCUGGGUGCUGCUGGGACAUAGUAACGAACAAGCCGUUGUGGUGUCCAGAGCUUCUGGAGCCUACAUUUUAGUGAAGGAGGACAAGUAAACAAUCGUGAUUCAGGAGAACUGAAUGCCACGAAAUAAAUAAAAUAGGGGGACGGACCAGAGCAGCAUCUGUCUUGCUGAACAUGGGAAUCACUAAAAGAUCUUUAACAGAUGCCUGGACUUCCUUCUCCCCCAAUUCUGAUUUAAUGGUUCUGGGUUAUGGCCUGGGCAUCAGAGUUUUUAAAGCUCUCAUGUGCCGUGAAGCCUGAGAACCACAGGCUCAAGCCCGACAGCUUGGGAGAUGUGUUGCAGUGCAUUGGCAGGGAGGCUGAUUAGCUUUGGCAUUCAGAAGGAAGAGGUGAAAAAACACAAGACAGAUCGAAUACGAUAACUGCUUCUGGACCUGGAAGCAGUCGCACUGCUGCCACCCCCAUCGUCCACUUUGCUCCCGUGGUCAGAUCCAGGGCAGAGCUGAGGGACUGUUUUACACACUCGGUUGGGGGUUGGGAGAGUGAUGGAGCCAGCCGUACCUCUGCAUAACUUCAAUAUGUGUAAUCUUCCAGCGGCUGUUUCUGGCUCUGGGAGUCGUCUGGGAGAACUGUGCUGCAGCAUAACAUCCAGGCUCUGCAGAUACUUCAGUUGCUGCCUCAGAGAAGCCUCCCGAGAAAGGGUGGGCCGUGGGCCAUCUGCAAGAGGUGGGGGGAAUCGAGAUCUGAGAUUCUGUUCUCUUCCUGCACUUCCUACACUUACUCCCGCAUAGCAUUUUCAGCAGAUGAAUCAGAUUAAAAUAACCAUGAAUGGCACUUUCUAAGAG